UACGUAGGGGGCAAGCGUUAUCCGGAUUUACUGGGUGUAAAGGGAGCGUAGACGGCGGUGCAAGCCAGAUGUGAGAGCCCGGGGCUCAACCCCGGGACUGCAUUUGGAACUGUGCUGCUAGAGUGUCGGAGAGGCAGGCGGAAUUCCUAGUGUAGCGGUGAAAUGCGUAGAUAUUAGGAGGAACACCAGUGGCGAAGGCGGCCUGCUGGACGAUGACUGACGUUGAGGCUCGAAAGCGUGGGGAGCAAACAGG
rnacentral:rRNA from 1 species